CUGUAAUAGAACCUAACUGAGAUGUGUUGAGACUUGGGAGGAUUAAUCACAGGAGGAUGGAACUGAAUUAGGAGGAGUUGAGACUCGGAGAACGAAAUGCAGCAGGGACUUGGAGGAGAGGGAUUGGACUCAACACAGCAUUAUCUAGAAGGUUGGUUAGCUGGAAUGAGACUUUGUUUUGGCUUCAGGUAAACCGGCCUUGGCUGCAGGUUGCAGGUCUGGGCUCAAUCAUCAACGAAGUUAUUGUACGUAAAGAUGUGGAAAGAGCUAUAAAAAUUAGGGAGUAUAAAUACUCUGAAACAAAGGCACAGACACAUUUGUUGCACUUAGGCCAGCUACAACAGAAGGUUUCAUGAAAAAUCUGGUUAGAAUAAUCCCAAUCGUUGUUCCUCCUCUUUGCCU
rnacentral:lncRNA from 1 species